CCAAUAGCGUAUAUUAAAGUUGUUGCAGUUAAAAAGCUCGUAGUUGAAUUUCGGGAUCAGUACGCCGGUCGUGCCUUCGGUAUGCACUGGUGUCACUGGUUUCUCCCUUCUGAAGAACCAUCAUGCCAUUAAGUUGGUGUGGUGGGGAAUCAGGACUGUUACUUUGAAAAAAUUAGAGUGUUUAAAGCAGGCUCGCGCUUGAAUACAUUAGCAUGGAAUAAUGAAAUAGGACGUUUGACCCUAUUUUGUUGGUUUCUAGGAUCGACGUAAUGAUUAAUAGGGAUAGUUGGGGGCAUUAGUAUUCAAUUGUCAGAGGUGAAAUUCUUGGAUUUAUUGAAGACUAACUACUGCGAAAGCAUUUGCCAAGGAUGUUUUCAUUAAUCAAGAACGAAAGUUAGGGGAUCGAAGACGAUCAGAUACCGUCGUAGUCUUAACCAUAAACUAUGCCGACUAGGGAUCGGAUGAUGUUAAUUUUUUAAUGACUCAUUCGGCGCCUUACG
rnacentral:rRNA from 1 species